rnacentral:tRNA from 1 species
GGGGGCGUGCCGGAGCCCGGUUGAACGGAUUCGCCUUGAAAGCGAACGGCCCUCAUACGGCCCGUGGGUUCGAAUCCCACCGCCCCCUCCA